rnacentral:lncRNA from 1 species
UUAGAUUCCUUAGUGAGUCUAUUUUCAAAAUAAAUUAAUGGUAACCUUAUAUGAAUUCUGUACAAUUAGAUAUUUGAUUUUUAGCGCCAAGAGGUCAGAUCUGUCGAGCUGUGAAACAGGGGAUACUUUAAUGAAUAAACUGUACUAAUGUGCUAAGUCAAAAAUUCUGAAAAUUUUAUGGUAAGUAGGAAUAUGAGUCUAGUUUCACGGAAAAUUUACGGAUUUAAAUUUUGAGUUUCGUAACUCAAGUUAUAAUUAAAUUAGUGACAGUUGCGCAGGUGGACAGUGUUGUUAUGAACAGUGAAUUUAAUUUUAAAAGCAAAUUUUUAUGCUCCGAAUCGGUAAGUUAAAUUGGAUG